rnacentral:rRNA from 1 species
AGCGAACGCUGGCGGCAGGCCUAACACAUGCCAGUCGAACGAGCUCUUCGGAGUUAGUGGCGGACGGGUGAGUAACACGUGGGAACGUGUCUUUUGGUUCGGAAUAACUCAGGGAAACUUGUGCUAAUACCGAAUGUGCCCUUCGGGGGAAAGAUUUAUCGCCAUUAGAGCGGCCCGCGUCUGAUUAGCUAGUUGGUGAGGUAACGGCUCACCAAGGCGACGAUCAGUAGCUGGUCUGAGAGGAUGACCAGCCACACUGGGACUGAGACACGGCCCAGACUCCUACGGGAGGCAGCAGUGGGGAAUCUUGCGCAAUGGGCGAAAGCCUGACGCAGCCAUGCCGCGUGAAUGAUGAAGGUCUUAGGAUUGUAAAAUUCUUUCACCGGGGACGAUAAUGACGGUACCCGGAGAAGAAGCCCCGGCUAACUUCGUG